AAUAUAGUGAUUGACUUUCCAUAAUAAUGUUGAAGAUGGUUAAAUUUUCUUUUUUCUUCUUCUAUUUCUAAAGAUAUUGUUUCAUUGUAGGGACAAUGCUCGCUUUCUUAUGUGAAAUAAAUUAAAAAAAAUAUUAAUGCCAAAAAUUGGAAAAAAAAAAACCUGGUUUAUAGCUGGAGUAGCUAUUAUUUUGAAAUUGAGCAUAGGCUCUUUUGGGAAAGUGCAACCAACUAUUUUAUGUUCCUUAGAGAAAAGGUAGAUCAGCUGAUUGAGUGUAAUAUCAAUAUAUUUUCUUAAAUGAAGAUUUGUUUAGAGAAAGCAAGAAAGAGGGAACAGUAACCAAAAAAAAUAUGAAGAAAAGAGAAAAAAACAGGUUGUUUCUCUGGUUGGUUCAACUUCUUUAUGGGCCCAAAUUUCUUAGUUGAUUCAUGGAAUUGUUAAACAUUUGGUCAAAAAAAAAUGUGUGUAAUGCAAGCAUGGAUUGGGUUUGUGUGUGUGCCCCCCUCAAUAUUCAUACUAAAAAACUUCAUUUGCCAUUGCUUUUGAUGAAGUUUUUAAGAUCAUGUUGUGCUUUGUUCUUGUUCACUGUGCUUGAGCUGCAUUUUCUCUUUUCUUUUUUAUGGCAAUUGGAUUUAGAAAUACUGUACAAGCGCG
rnacentral:misc_RNA from 1 species